rnacentral:rRNA from 1 species
CCUACGUGUGGCAGCAGUCGAGAAUCAUUCACAAUGGGCGAAACCCUGAUGGUGCGACGCCGCGUGGGGGAAUGCAGGUCUUCGGAUUGUAAACCCCUGUCAUGUGGGAGCAAAUUAAAAAGAUAGUACCACAAGAGGAAGAGACGGCUAACUCUGUGACAGCAGCCGCGGUAAUACAGAGGGCUCAAGCGUUGUUCGGAAUCACUGGGCGUAAAGCGUGCGUUGGGUGUUGCGUAAGUCGUGUGUGAAAGGCCCGGGCUCAACCCGCGGACGGCACAUGAUACUGCGAGACUAGAGUAAUGGAGGGGGAACCGGAAUUCUCGGUGUAGCAGUGAAAUGCGUAGAUAUCGAGAGGAACACUCGUGGCGAAGGCGGGUUCCUGGACAUUAACUGACGCUGAGGCACGAAGGCCAGGGGAGCGAAAGGGAUUAGAUACCCCAGUAGUC